rnacentral:rRNA from 1 species
GAUGAACGCUGGCGGCGUGCCUAAUACAUGCAAGUCGAGCGAACGGACGAGAAGCUUGCUUCUCUGAUGUUAGCGGCGGACGGGUGAGUAACACGUGGAUAACCUACCUAUAAGACUGGGAUAACUUCGGGAAACCGGAGCUAAUACCGGAUAAUAUUUUGAACCGCAUGGUUCAAAAGUGAAAGACGGUCUUGCUGUCACUUAUAGAUGGAUCCGCGCUGCAUUAGCUAGUUGGUAAGGUAACGGCUUACCAAGGCAACGAUGCAUAGCCGACCUGAGAGGGUGAUCGGCCACACUGGAACUGAGACACGGUCCAGACUCCUACGGGAGGCAGCAGUAGGGAAUCUUCCGCAAUGGGCGAAAGCCUGACGGAGCAACGCCGCGUGAGUGAUGAAGGUCUUCGGAUCGUAAAACUCUGUUAUUAACGAAGAACAUAUGUGUAAGUAACUGUGCACAUCUUGACGGUACCUAAUCAGAAAGCCACGGCUAACUACGUGCCAGCAGCCGCGGUAAUACGUAAGUGGCAAGCGUUAUCCGGAAUUAUUGGGCGUAAAGCGCGCGUAGGCGGUUUUUUAAGUCUGAUGUGAAAGCCCACGGCUCAACCGUGGAGGGUCAUUGGAAACUGGAAAACUUGAGUGCAGAAGAGGAAAGUGGAAUUCCAUGUGUAGCGGUGAAAUGCGCAGAGAUAUGGAGGAACACCAGUGGCGAAGGCGACUUUCUGGUCUGUAACUGACGCUGAUGUGCGAAAGCGUGGGGAUCAAACAGGAUUAGAUACCCUGGUAGUUCACGCCGUAAACGAUGAGUGCUAAGUGUUAGGGGGUUUCCGCCCCUUAGUGCUGCAGCUAACGCAUUAAGCACUCCGCCUGGGGAGUACGACCGCAAGGUUGAAACUCAAAGGAAUUGACGGGGACCCGCACAAGCGGUGGAGCAUGUGGUUUAAUUCGAAGCAACGCGAAGAACCUUACCAAAUCUUGACAUCCUUUGACAACUCUAGAGAUAGAGCCUUCCCCUUCGGGGGACAAAGUGACAGGUGGUGCAUGGUUGUCGUCAGCUCGUGUCGUGAGAUGUUGGGUUAAGUCCCGCAACGAGCGCAACCCUUAAGCUUAGUUGCCAUCAUUAAGUUGGGCACUCUAAGUUGACUGCCGGUGACAAACCGGAGGAAGGUGGGGAUGACGUCAAAUCAUCAUGCCCCUUAUGAUUUGGGCUACACACGUGCUACAAUGGACAAUACAAAGGGCAGCGAAACCGCGAGGUCAAGCAAAUCCCAUAAAGUUGUUCUCAGUUCGGAUUGUAGUCUGCAACUCGACUACAUGAAGCUGGAAUCGCUAGUAAUCGUAGAUCAGCAUGCUACGGUGAAUACGUUCCCGGGUCU